rnacentral:rRNA from 1 species
AGUGAACGCUGGCGGUAGGCCUAACACAUGCAAGUCGAACGGCAGCACAGUAAGAGCUUGCUCUUACGGGUGGCGAGUGGCGGACGGGUGAGGAAUACAUCGGAAUCUACUUUUUCGUGGGGGAUAACGUAGGGAAACUUACGCUAAUACCGCAUACAACCUACGGGUGAAAGCAGGGGAUCUUCGGACCUUGCGCGAUUGAAUGAGCCGAUGUCGGAUUAGCUAGUUGGCGGGGUAAAGGCCCACCAAGGCGACGAUCCGUAGCUGGUCUGAGAGGAUGAUCAGCCACACUGGAAUUGAGACACGGUCCAGACUCCUACGGGAGGCAGCAGUGGGGAAUAUUGGACAAUGGGCGCAAGCCUGAUCCAGCCAUACCGCGUGGGUGAAGAAGGCCUUCGGGUUGUAAAGCCCUUUUGUUGGGAAAGAAAAGCAGCAGGUUAAUACCCCGCUGUUCUGACGGUACCCAAAGAAUAAGCACCGGCUAACUUCGUG